rnacentral:lncRNA from 1 species
GUUGGAGAUUAUUUGAUUAAGUCCUUAUCAGACAUCUAGGACCCAGAUGUCAGCUUUUCAUGCCAUUUAUGUCAUUGAGGCCUAAAGGGAAAGGUGGGAAUUUGGCUGGAGACCUCCUCGCAUUUCAAGUCCUAUACAAAGACACUCUGCAGCAGGGACAGUGAGUUCCUGGCUGCACACAUCCUUCUCCUUGCUUUGCAGUGAGGAGCACAGCAAUACCUUGAAGUUCUGCCUGAUUUCCUUGACAUGCAGUGAGGGCAAUAGUGAGUUCAUAGAAGACUCGUCCUUCCUCUUGCCUUGGGGUGAGGAGGACGGUGAUUUUCUGGUUGCCGGCAACUUCUCCCUGGGUUGCAGCGUGGAGGACAUCAAGUUCUUGGCAGCCUUUGCACUUCUCCUUGCCUUGCAGAGAGCAGAACAUGAGCCCUGAGAGCCUCGUUGCUCAUGCAUCAGUGGAACCUGCAGAGGCCCGACCCCACGACAAAGAGCCACUGUUGUUCCCAACCUUCACAGAGCCGUGCAGAAAGGACAUGUGGGAACUCACCCAUAGGCGAGGUGGCUGCCUCUUCACCUGGCCCACUGCCUGGCCUCUGGAAUCCAACUGAAAACACAGCAGUAGAUCAUACUCACAGAAACAAUUUGUAAUUCAAAUACUAUGAAUGCAUUAACAUUUUGACUAAACUAAAUAUUUAUACACUAAAUGUACUUGUAUACUUUGCCAAAAAUUAACCCUUGAUGUUUCUUAAGGGAUUAUUUCAGAAUAAACACCUAAAGAAACUGAAGCA